AAAUUGAAGAGUUUGAUCAUGGCUCAGAUUGAACGCUGGCGGCAGGCCUAACACAUGCAAGUCGAACGGUAACAGGAAGCAGCUUGCUGCUUUGCUGACGAGUGGCGGACGGGUGAGUAAUGUCUGGGAAACUGCCUGAUGGAGGGGGAUAACUACUGGAAACGGUGGCUAAUACCGCAUAACGUCGCAAGACCAAAGAGGGGGACCUUCGGGCCUCUUGCCAUCAGAUGUGCCCAGAUGGGAUUAGCUUGUUGGUGAGGUAACGGCUCACCAAGGCGACGAUCCCUAGCUGGUCUGAGAGGAUGACCAGCCACACUGGAACUGAGACACGGUCCAGACUCCUACGGGAGGCAGCAGUGGGGAAUAUUGCACAAUGGGCGCAAGCCUGAUGCAGCCAUGCCGCGUGUAUGAAGAAGGCCUUCGGGUUGUAAAGUACUUUCAGCGGGGAGGAAGGUGUUGCGGUUAAUAACCGCAGCAAUUGACGUUACCCGCAGAAGAAGCACCGGCUAACUCCGUGCCAGCAGCCGCGG
rnacentral:rRNA from 1 species